rnacentral:pre_miRNA from 1 species
UGGCAAGAUGUUGGCAUAGCUGAAAGUUUUGAGUUUAGCUAUUCAACUUCUUGUCUAU